CAGGCCUAACACAUGCAAGUCGAACGCUGAAGCUCAGCUUUUGUUGGGUGGAUGAGUGGCGAACGGGUGAGUAACACGUGAGUAACCUGCCCUCUUCUUUGGGAUAACGCCCGGAAACGGGUGCUAAUACUGGAUAUUCACUGAUCUUCGCAUGGGGGUUGGUGGAAAGGUUUGUUCUGGUGGGGGAUGGGCUCGCGGCCUAUCAGCUUGUUGGUGGGGUGAUGGCCUACCAAGGCUUUGACGGGUAGCCGGCCUGAGAGGGUGACCGGUCACAUUGGGACUGAGAUACGGCCCAGACUCCUACGGGAGGCAGCAGUGGGGAAUAUUGCACAAUGGGCGAAAGCCUGAUGCAGCGACGCCGCGUGAGGGAUGGAGGCCUUCGGGUUGUAAACCUCUUUCGCUCAUGGUCAAGCCGCGACUUUGGUUGUGGUGAGGGUAGUGGGUAAAGAAGCGCCGGCUAACUACGUGCCAGCAGCCGCGGUAAUACGUAGGGCGCGAGCGUUGUCCGGAAUUAUUGGGCGUAAAGGGCUUGUAGGCGGUUGGUCGCGUCUGCCGUGAAAUUCUCUGGCUUAACUGGGGGCGUGCGGUGGGUACGGGCUGACUUGAGUGCGGUAGGGGAGACUGGAACUCCUGGUGUAGCGGUGGAAUGCGCAGAUAUCAGGAAGAACACCGGUGGCGAAGGCGGGUCUCUGGGCCGUUACUGACGCUGAGGAGCGAAAGCGUGGGGAGCGAACAGGAUUAGAUACCCUG
rnacentral:rRNA from 1 species